ACCACGUGAAGAUGAAGGGGGAGAGCCGGGGUGGGGGGGAAACGCUGUCACCGGCUGAAGAAUGACAGAGUGGCCAGCAAAGGCCACAGGCUGGGGAGAGGCCCAAACAGAUCUUCCCUGAGCCCCGGAGGCUCCAGAACUGUGGGAGGUGCCCUUCUGUCACGUCCAAGUAUGUGGGGAGCUCCUUUCUCCUGGAGGCAGCCUGUCCCCUCUCUGCACCCCGACGACCGUUUGCUGAUGCUUGAUGUGCUUGAUGCUGGAUGUUCCCAGGCAGGUGUCGCCCGUCUUUGCUGUGUCCCCUCGGCAGGGAAAUCUGCAGGCCAUUGGAGCUGUGGCUGGGUCAUGCAAAAUAGGAACGCGGGGGGAAAAGGGUGCAGGAAGUAAUGGUGUGGGCUCUCAGCGAAAGCCUGGGAACGUGUUCUCUGGCCCCUGGUGAGCUUGGAAGCUGAUGGGUUGUCUCUCCUUGCCUUGGGGCAUUUCCUGUAUCCAGGCUCUGGAGCCAAGUUCACCGAACCCAGUGCCAAGCUGCCAAUGCUUAGUGAGAAACACCGCGGGUUCCGUGGCCCAGACCUGUGUGGGCAUGACCGGUGCGUUCUCUUUCUGCGGCUGAUGUCCAUGGAAGGCAAGUCAGGACCAAGUGUCAGGUUGGCCUGGAAUCAGAACAGGGUGGCAAGCUGGACAGAGCAACUCUUACAGAGAUAACUCGACGGGCCGUUGUGCAACUUCCAGCCCCGCCCGCAGAGGUCAUGUCGGCCUCACCCCUGCACGUUGCCAGCCUGCCCCUCCCACCUGCCACCUCUGGGACCUCCCCAGGUGACCAGGCUCUCUGCUGACAUGAUCUUUCUCGGGUCUGAAUGGAGCCAGGUUUUGACCCCCGGAGCCUGCUGCACCCCACAGUGACCCGCCUCUGUGUCUUCCAAGCCUUCCUACACGGAGUCACAGGACACGUGUUUAGGAUUUAGGAACUCAGUGUCAAAAACGGGGGCAGAUGGUCAAGACUUAGAAUAAAAGAUGCUCCCAGGGCUCUUGACGCUUAGGACAUUCCAAGGGUUUAGGAUCUCUGGGCCAGGACCCAGGGGCAGAGACCAACGUACAUAUUUUUCUGUGAUCUCGUGUUCCAGGCGUGAAGCCCCAAGUCCCCUCUUACUGCCUCCCUUGCGCCCGUGCCCCGCACCUGGGCUCUGAAGGGUCACUCCCUCGGGCUCUGGGCUGGCUCCUCCCGCUCUCUGCACUCCCGCGUGGUCUCACCUGGUCUCCCCACCACCACCACCACCUGAGCGCUGAGGACUCCCGUCCAGAGUCCAAACAGGAGAGUCCGGAAUGGAGUCAGACCUCGCAGCUUCUCCUCCAAGUGUCGCUCCGUAACCCAUCACGCGGGACAGCGCAGCCUGGCUUACCCAGGGUGUGUCUUCCUGACGAACGGGGCCAUCUGGGCGAGCAUAGGUUUGAAGCACCGUCUGCUCUGUUUCCCAGGUCCUUUGUUUCUCCAGCACCUCCUGCUUGCGGGGUGGGCCUUGUAGUGGGCCCUGGACGUCCCCCGAAUCACGUUCUCCCCGCCCUGCACCAUCAAGCCCUAAAGGCCUUCUGUCCCCUCUCCCCUCUGUGAUGGCUUCCCCAGCUCCUGGCUCGUGCUGGCUCCGACGUCCGCGCUCCCCACAAAGCACCCCCCCCCGCAGCCUUCUCAGGCCUUGGGUAGUGGAGAGCCUCUCCCAUGGGCUCGGAGGUGCCCCGGUCCCCUCACCAGCCCUGGCCACGCCGUGAGUGUCCCGGGGGUGAGCCAGGGUUCCCCCCUCCCCUGCCGCGUGUGCACGCACUGCCACAGGGCAUGUGCUCAGCAAAGGUUGAAUUUCACCGCCGUGUGCCACAUGGCAUAGCCCCCGGUAUGUUGUAGCCUCACGGAGAAGGAGGAGUCCAGCCUUUUCCAGCUGACGCCCGUCGGCCGCAGAGCCCGUGUCUCUGUCUCACUUGCGGCCUCUGGUCGGAGGCCUCCUGGCUCCCAGUCUUCGUGGCCCUGAACUUGGAGUCUCCUCUGCUCUGAGCAAGAGCCUCCCACGCGUGGUCGACGGGGCCUUCCUGGACCAAGGGGGGCUGGGGCACCUCAGCUCCCGCCUCUCUGCCUUGUUUUGUGGUUGAGCAAAGCAGUGCUUUAAAGGAAAUUUAUUUUUCCAAAUUGCAGAACAAAGGACACAAUGUUUAGGAAGAAAACACAUUGCUUACAUUUGAGAAAAAUUAGUAGCAUUAUAUAAUGAAAGACACUUGAAGGAGUUGACUCACCCCAGGCUGACAUACAUCUUUGACUAGCUAGUGAGAUAUUCAUAAAAUUACAUCCUGUUAAUUUAAGGCUUCCAUGCUAAUUUUCAGUCAAUUUUAUUUGCCUACGAAAUUUAUUGGUGGCCUCCAGGGUAACAGCCGGGCUCAGUCCAAGUGUGUGGGAUCCUUGUUAAAAACACCAUGUGAAGAAAGUAAAACAGAGUUCAAUGGGAGGGCCAGAAGGACAUGAGGACAGUGUCCAGGUGGUCUAGGCUUGGGGUGCGCUCUGUGGGGCCCCUCGCGAGGCCCUGCCUCAGAACUGAGCUAGCACAACCCUGAUGGACACGCGGGGCUGCUCCAGAGUCCAGAGCAGCCCCUGAUGGGUCCAGUACUCCCGUCCACAGAUGGGGAAGCUGAGGCACAGAGCCGGUGAUGGUUCCCCUGAGUGGAAAGCCUCAGAAAGAUCUCCAUGGUCCCGCUGCUCCACCGCCUCAGGUCAGCAAGACGAGAUUGUUCCGGGGGAAGAAUGUCAGGUGGUGCAUGAAUUGAUAAAACAGCAAAGGGGAGACCCGUUCAAGAAGGUGGCAGCUGUCUCGUUAGGCAGGGAGGCAAACCUAGGUUGGGGCUUCGUGGUUGGUCCCGGUUCUCAGAAGGGCCGCGUGUUGUCGCCGCCUUAAAAAUUCCUAUCAGGCCCCCAUGCAUUGUGCAGCUGGCCCUGCCCCCAAGCACAUGGCCACAGAGCAGAGGAGAGCCAGGGGUUCAGGGCCGCACCUCCCCCAGGCUGUUCCAGCCACGUCCUCCUGACCUCCUCCUGAUCUUGGCCAAGCCUGGCCUCCUCGCCAGAGGGAGGGUCCAGACGCCCAUGGAAGCCAGCCCCUGGGGAGACCAACACGACAGUAAAGGACAGUAAGCGGUCCCCCCGGUGACGUCCUCCCCUGACCACCGGAGCUUCCUACCCAUGCUGCCUGCACCUGCGGAGACUGGCGCAGUCGCUGCCGCACAGCCACCGUGCCUCUGGCCGUGCCAGGCCCCUGCUGGGCUGCCGGCUGUGCGCCGCCAAGGUCAUGCCCCCUGCUGUGCUGAGCCGUCAUCGAUGGGGAUGUAGGGUCUCGUGGGGCAAGAUGGGGGCACGCUGCAGAGGGGUCAGGAAAAGCUCUUCAGAAAAUACCACGCUUAAGAGACGACCUAGAAAUGGGAUGAGAAUUGACCGGUAGAAAGGGUGGAAGAGCAUGCCAAGGCGAGGAACGGGGAGCCUGGGGAGAUGAGGGCUGGGAGGAGAGGAGGCGAGAUGCCGGGAGAUGGAAUUCCUCCUCGAUGAGCUGCGAGCGUAAAACCCCGCUCCGGAAAAGGUCGUCAGCUUCUCCAGACAUGAUGCCACAAUUACCUAUGAUGCUUACGUGUGAUCCGGCUCCUGGGUGACUGUCCCAGGGAAGCGAGGACUUGCACUCACGCACAAACCCGUGCAUGGCGUCUGUAGCAGCUGUGUUCAGGGUUAGCCCCAAACCGCAGCCCCAGAUGCCCUCUGGGGAGAUGGUGAACCAGACUGGGGUCCAUCUGGGCCGGGGACACCGCCAGUGAUCUCAAGGGACAAACUAUGGACCCCGGCCCCAGCGUGGGUGUGUCUCAAUGGCAUUACGCUGAGCGAGAAAAGCCGACCUUGGAAGUUACGCGUGACAUCUUCAGUGGCAAAACGAGGGGACAGAUGGGCAGCUGCCGAGGCUGAGAGACGGGGAGAGGGGAGAAGGAGGGCGGUGGGCGGCGGCAGGGGACCACACGGUGGUGAAUGUUCUGUGUCAUGAUUGCGGUGGCGGUUAUGUGGAUCUGCCCACGCGGUGUCGUCCCACAGAACUGGGUAAACACACACGCACAUGCACACGCAGUGAAUGCACGUGCUGUGGACCGUCUGUCCACCCCGGGCUCAUCGGCUGGAGCCCUAAUCCCCAAGCUGAUGGCCUUGACUCGGCGGGGGACCCCUUUGGGAGGUGAUGAGGUCACGAGGGUGGAGUCUUCACCUUGGGUGCCUUAAUGAAAGAGACCCCCAGAGAUCAUCUCUGUCCCAUGUGUGAGGACACAGCAAAAAGGCAGCCAUCUGCAAGCCGGGAAAGGGGUCUUCCCCAGGAGCUGAAUCUUCCAGCAUCUCAAGCUUGGACUUCCCAGCCUCCAGGACCAGGAGCAGAAGAUGUCUGCUCUCGAAGCCCCCGAGUCUAUGGUGUUUUGUCAGAGCAGCCCGAGCUGACGACGACAGCACGUGACACGGCUGAACUCUGAGUAAGGUCUGUGGGUUUUCCCGAGGUCCACUUCCCGUCCCUUGCUGAGAGGCGGUGAUGCAAGACGUUACCCCUGGGGGAAACCGGGUGAAGGUGCGCCGGACUUCUUGGUGCUGUUUUUGCAACUUCCUGUGAAUCUAUAAUUACUUCCAAAACAGGAAAAAAAAAAAAAAAGGAAGGGACAGGAUGGAUCCCUGGAGGGCUGACAACGUGGGCCAAGACCAAAUGUAGCAGACACAUGAGGAGUUCCAACGGUCUAGGCAGACUUGCCAGGGGAGGGUCUUCGGGGGCUCCAGGAAGCAUGCGCCACAGCCCGGCUCCCCUGCACAAGGUUGUACACCGUGGGCAGCACCUGGUUCCAGAAUGUUUUCAGCACCCUGGACGAAAACCCCUGUAAUGGUUAAUGUGACGCGGCAACGUGGCUGGGCCACAGGAGGCUCAGACAGCCGGUGCUCCCCGUUUCCAAACUGUCUCCGUGGGAGCACACCGCUGGCUUUCCCACUCUCCAGUGUGUGGACAGCGGACCGGGGGACCUCUCCACGUCCACAAUCACGGGAGCCUUCUCUUUCUGGAUUUCUGUGUUCGUCCUACUGGUCCUACUGGUUCUGCUUCUCUGAGGAACCCUGAUGAGGACCGCCCGCACCUGUUUCCCGGUUGCUCCCACUCCCUGUCCCCGGCCCUUGGCAAGCACGCCACUCCUUUCUGCCUCUAGGCAUUUGCCAUUUCUGGACAUUUCAAGCAGAUGGAAUCGUUCAGUACGUGGCCUUUCGGGUGUGGCUGCUUUCACAGGCAUCAGUUCGUCCGAGCUCAUCGUCCUUGCGGCAGGGGCCUGUGCUCCCUUCCUUUUCACCACUGUGGGGUCUUCCACUGUGUGGGAGGCCACACUGGGGUGUCUGUUCAUCCUUGGAGGCUGCCUGGGGCAUCUGGGAGCUUUGGGAGUGUGACCGCAUCCUCGGAGGCCUGCGUGAGCGCGAGCUGCAGGGCAGGACCUGGUGUGACCCCCACGGCUGUACCCCAGUGCCCGCGACAGCCCCUAGCGCCGAGCAGGCACUCGGCACACAUUUGCUGAAGAAUGAAUGAAUGAGCAUGUGGCUGGGGGCGGGGGGACGGUGAGAGCGUGUGUGCUCCAAACGCCCCGAGGGAAGCAGGGCAUGGCAACUCUCCAGACCACCCCAUGUAGCCACCUUUUAGGAGGAAAAACAGUGCGGAGCUCUGGAGGAUAAGCACUGGCCCGGGAGCCGGGAUCUGGCGGUGGAGGCUUGGCUUGCCGGCACGCGGACUCCGUCGGUUUCUUAGAAAGCCCGAUGUGUUUCCUCCUGGGGCCGUAACAGAGCCGGCAGAGUGCAUUCUCUCUGACCCUAUUCUUCUCCGCGUCUCUCUCUGAAUACGCCCAAGAAAGCCCCUCCUCUCUAAGGGCCCAUGUGGCUGGAUCGGGACCACCUGAUUGACCCAGGGUAGCAUCCCCUCUCAAGACCCUUACCUUAGCCACCUCUGCAAAAUCCCCUUUCCAGGUAAUGGAACAUAGUCAUAGAUUCCUGUGAUGAGGACGUAGACAUCUGGGCUGGGGGGGGUUGGCACUAUUCUGUCAACCACGGGAGCCUCUCGGCCUCUCUGAAACUCGGUUUCCCCGUUUGCAAAGGCAGGCUAGACAAUCCCCAGCUCUUAGGAGUCAGGUACUUGAAGUGGGAGAGAACAGGGGGCUCUCCAUCGUGACAAUUCAGAUUGUCCCUGGAGAGGGGUGUUCCCUGGAGUACACCCCUGUCUGACCAGACACCCCGUGGGACCUUUCCACCCAGUUUCUUCCUGUUCCCCAGUGUGGCCUCUGAGAGCACCAUCCGCCUGUCCCCAGGUGAGGGACAUGAGCUUCAGAGAGACCAAGUGAUGUUCCUGACACGACGGGUCUCAGAAGUGGGGUGCACGCCCACCUGCCUCCAUCUGACUCCAGAGCUGAUGGCACCCCCUCCCCCUGCCGGCACAGGAGCGAGCUGCAGAAAGAGAAACUACAGAAUGAUAGGCCACAUCUGGAGCUUCUAGAAGCAAAACAUCUGUGUCCGUGCGUCCCCCAACCUGAACCCGUGCACGCUCUUUCUGAAGCUGGCACGCACAGAUUCUGGCAUGCGGCCAGGAAGAUACACACGCGUGUGCUGUGUCUCAGGGCGGGUUUGGGCUGACACACUCUCCUGGGACAUCAGCAAGCCCCUUGCGGUGCGGAAAGAACUUUUCAUCCUAACCAGGUCCUCCCCCACCUGGGGCUCCUCUGUGAGUCUUUCAAAUCAGCCCAAAAGCCUGAAGGCACUGGGAGGGGGUGGUGAGCACAACCGCUCCCCUUGGGCUUGGAAACCCCCCUCUCAGGGGUCCAAAGCGUGUGUGUCACGGGCCUGAGCUCUGAGCGCAGGGCCCGACUGUGCCUGGAUGGUGUACUUUCCCCCGCGGGGCCAGGGACCACUGCAGGCCUGUGGAGGGACCCAGGCAGCACCGCACAGGGCUUCCUCGCACCAUCUCUUGUCCUCAUGGGUCCCUUCGUUGGAGCUUCGUGUGUGUCCCGUGGGAUCCCAGUGACCUAAUCCAUAGAAGAGGGUGCCCCCAUUGCUACAGCUGCAUCUUCGUUCACCCCUUCGUUCGAGAAGUAGGUACUUGCCGUCCUGGGGAGCUCCAGCGGACAGAAGAGAAAUGCAAAGUGUUUCUCAGCCUCCAGGAGCUCGCAGUCUAAGACGGACGGACAGACUGCCCCAGGGUAGCCUGGGGUAAGCAACCUGUUUGCUGAUUUAUUCAUUCAUUCAUCAAGCGCUCCUCGCCAGCUGCUUCUGGACCAGAAACCAGGCACUGUGGGUGCCGACCGCGAGGAGUCCACGUCUACCAGUGGACAUGUCAGGGAAAAUGUCAGACAGCACUUGCUGAGUGGUUAGCAGACAAAACCUUUUGAAUAAUUAGGAACACGUUUCCUAGGGAAUCACUGUAGUGAAAAGACACUGUGUCGGCUUUGGCCUAAAUCGACGAUGAGAAACUUGGUGCGUGACAGCCGCGUGGCGGGUACAGCGAGGGGCAGAUGGUCUUUGCGUAUCGCUGAAUUUGCUCGCCCGUCCCCAUCGCCCGCAAAGCGCCCGUGGCGGGACCCUCCGGGGGAACGUGGGCACGAAGGAGACACAGGUCUGGCUCUUGAAAACGCACAGAUGACCACGGAGAAGAAAGGCUAAGCCCAGGAUGGGGGUGCCCUCAGCCGCCCACGCAGCCCAGCACUCCUCCUGGGGCUCCGCCUCUUCGGGACCCGGCGUCUGGCUGCCUGCUGAUCGAGGGACUUCGGCUGCUCUCCAUUGUCCCACUGCCUCUGGGUGCUGCAGACAAGACUUCAUUUUGCCGCCCGGUGGACCCCAGUCAGACCCAGGUCCCAAGGGACACUCCUGGAGACCUGCUUUUACCCAGUGGCACAGCCCGAGGCUGGAGAGGAAACUAGCCAACUUCUGCUCUUGAAACGGAAUCUGCAGCUUCAGUGCAGGCCCUGGCUCCUCGGAUUGGCGGUCCCUGCAAGAGCACCAUCAUCUCCCCUUGCAGACUGGGUUCUUUUAGGAACGCUGGACUGUGCAAUUAAUUUAUUCAUUAAUUUAAAGGUUUUGGAAACGGACUUUCUCAGUUAAAAAAAAAAGGGGGGG